rnacentral:rRNA from 1 species
AUUGAACGCUGGCGGCAUGCUUUACACAUGCAAGUCGAGCGGAGAUGAGGUGCUUGCACCUUAUCUUAGCGGCGGACGGGUGAGUAAUGCUUAGGAAUCUGCCAUUUAGUGGGGGACAACAUUCCGAAAGGAAUGCUAAUACCGCAUACGUCCUACGGGAGAAAGCAGGGGAUCUUCGGACCUUGCGCUAAAUGAUGAGCCUAAGUCGGAUUAGCUAGUUGGUGGGGUAAAGGCCUACCAAGGCGACGAUCUGUAGCGGGUCUGAGAGGAUGAUCCGCCACACUGGGACUGAGACACGGCCCAGACUCCUACGGGAGGCAGCAGUGGGGAAUAUUGGACAAUGGGCGGAAGCCUGAUCCAGCCAUGCCGCGUGUGUGAAGAAGGCCUUUUGGUUGUAAAGCACUUUAAGCGAGGAGGAGGCUACCUGGAUUAAUACUCUAGGAUAGUGGACGUUACUCGCAGAAUAAGCACCGGCUAACUCUGUGCCAGCAGCCGCGGUAACAC